rnacentral:piRNA from 1 species
UGACGUUUAAUAUUGAUGCUGGUUAGUAC